GUAGGUGAACCUGCGGAAGGAUCAUUAUUGAAAUAAACCUGAUGGGUUGCUGCUGGUUCCCUAGGGAGCAUGUGCACACUUGUCAUCUUUAUAUCUCCACCUGUGCACCUUUUGUAGACCCUGGAUAUCUUUCUGAAUGCCUACGCAAUUCAGGUUUGAGGAUUGACUUUGCAGCCUUUCCUUACAUUUCUAGGCCUAUGUUUCUUCAUCUACCCCCAAUGUAUGUUAUAGAAUGUAAUCAAUGGGCAUU
rnacentral:misc_RNA from 1 species